UUGGAUGUAGUGGAUGUUAUUGAGGAAGGCUCAGGCUAGAGGGUUGUGGAUUGGAUGACCCCCUGAAGGCAACCACCACACAGCCAGUUGUAGCCCCUACGAGGUUGAUACUGUUGUUUUUGGCCAUCUGGGUCGUAAGCCUGGUAGGUCAUGACUUGUCGUUGCUACGACAAGGCAGGUUAAUGGGUAGGAAUGAGCUGAGGCUGUAAGGCAGGACGAUACUACAGCAUGGCCUGCAUUCUCAAGGCGAGUUUAAGCUUCAAAGGUGAGAAUGUUGGAUUGGAAAUCUAAGAAUUCUGGCAAAAGAGGAAAAUUCAGAACGGCAAUGACAAACAUCGAAUAAUUAGCCCCAAGGACCUUAAGCACAGAGUUCACCAAAUCGUUAUUAGAAACUGGUUGAUUAAUAGCAGCAAAAGAAUCAGCAAUGAACUUAGCCUAUUGAAAGCCGAGAUUGGUGGCAUUGGCAAUAUAAGCUUGAGAAAAGUGAGCAUGGAAAGUCCCAGAUAACUUGUGAAAGCUGCCAAGGGUAAGAGACAAAAUUGGCUAAGAGAUGGUGGAAGUCAAAUAACUGACAACCAAUUGAUCUGUUUGAAACCACGCAGCAAAAACCAAACUCUGUUGAGAGGGCUCCUUGUCAAUAGUAGGAAGGUUGGUAGCAAGGGCCGAGAUAGAACCAUCGACAAAGCCAAAUAAAUUAUGACCUAGAAGAAAUGACAUCAUCUGACUAAGCCAAAGAAGAUAAUUAGAACUAGUGAGUUUCAGAUGGUGUGCAACAUUAGGACGAGAGAUGAGGAUCGGAAGAGGAAGAGGAAAAGGCAACUUGAAAAGCCAUGGUGGAGAGGGAAAGGCAUGGCAAGAAUUUUGGGGGGAGGGGGGUGUUCACGGCAAGGUUUUAGGGAAAGGGGGUCACGGCAAGGAUGUGAGAAAGAGAGAUUUUGAGGGCUAGAGUUUGACUAGGAAAGGGGAAAUCUAAACGAGUGAUACCAUGUAAAAUUGUAAUUCUAUUGAUUUCAUUUGAUAACACAUGGUACAAAUACAUACUAGUAAAGUGAUUUGUUGUACUUUGACAAAAAAUGAGUGAUUUGUUAUACAAGUAAAUCUAAGCUCACAAGAAUUUACAUAACCUUACCUAGCCCAACAAAAUCCUAACUGGAAUUCUCCUAUAGAGUGAUGCGAAAUAUAUAAGCACACAAAUUAAACCCUCUUUUUAUCAAUUGUAGCAAAGUAUGUAAGUAGGGAUCGUUCUAGACUGGGGAUUAGGAGGGAUUGCUAAAUCACUUGAAAACUGACUCAAAUA
rnacentral:lncRNA from 1 species